UAGCGAAGUACCUUAUCACUUCUUAGUGUGUACUGAGUCACCUAGGAAGGCGAGGCAUGGACGCCGAGCCAGCCUGAGCUGAGGCAGGAUGGCCGAAUCGAAGGCGAUUCCGUACCAUUUACUACACCUACCAGACACACGCUAGAAGUCCUUAGGUACGAAGCGU
rfam:Anaerosporobacter mobilis DSM 15930 genome assembly, contig: EJ17DRAFT_scaffold00012.12